AUAUGGAGAAGCCUCAUCACGAUCUGCUUUAACUUUCAUUCCACCAGUAACUCUCGCAAUGGUUUCCCUGCAGAAAAAUAUAUUAAUUUUUACGUACGAAACAUUCAAUUAUUUACCAAGUUCAAAAAUUUUUCGUUAAAUAUACCUUCCAGAAAGAUCGGUUACAUGAACGAAAGUAUCGUUAAAGCUCGCAAAAAUGUGAGCAACGCCAAAAACAACUUCACCUUCACGAAGUUGUGGUCCAAGAGAUACUUGGACCUCUUCCUUUUGUACCUUUCCUCUUUUUGGCGGCAUUUCUACCUUUAAGUUGAACGUACUAAAAUUCGCUUGUCCAACACGACCAACGCU
rnacentral:misc_RNA from 1 species